GUGGGGAAUAUUGCGCAAUGGGCGAAUGCCUGACGCAGCGACGCCGCGUGUGGGAUGAAGGUCUUCGGAUCGUAAACCACUGUCAGAGGGGACGAAGGCCCGGCAUUAACUGUGACCGGGAUUGACGGUACCCUCGGAGGAAGCACCGGCUAACUCUGUGCCAGCAGCCGCGGUAAUACAGAGGGUGCGAGCGUUGUCCGGAAUCACUGGGCGUAAAGGGCGUGUAGGCGGCUGGGUAAGCCGCGUGUGAAAUCCCGGGGCUCAACCCCGGAACGGCACGCGGGACUGUCCGGCUAGAGAAUGGUAGAGGCGAGUGGAAUUCCUGGUGUAGCGGUGGAAUGCGUAGAGAUCAGGAAGAACACCGGUGGCGAAGGCGGCUCGCUGGGCCAUUUCUGACGCUGAGGCGCGAAAGCGUGGGGAGCAAACAGGAUUAGAUACCCGGGUAGUCC
rnacentral:rRNA from 1 species